rnacentral:rRNA from 1 species
AUUGAACGCUGGCGGCAGGCUUAACACAUGCAAGUCGAGCGGAGUGAUGGUGCUUGCACUAUUACUUAGCGGCGGACGGGUGAGUAAUGCUUAGGAAUCUGCCAUUUAGUGGGGGACAACAUUCCGAAAGGAAUGCUAAUACCGCAUACGUCCUACGGGAGAAAGCAGGGGAUCUUCGGACCUUGCGCUAAAUGAUGAGCCUAAGUCGGAUUAGCUAGUUGGUGGGGUAAAGGCCUACCAAGGCGACGAUCUGUAGCGGGUCUGAGAGGAGGAUCCGCCACACUGGGACUGAGACACGGCCCAGACUCCUACGGGAGGCAGCAGUGGGGAAUAUUGGACAAUGGGCGGAGGCCUGAUCCAGCCAUGCCGCGUGUGUGAAGAAGGCCUUUUGGUUGUAAAGCACUUUAAGCGAGGAGGAGGCUCUCCUAGUUAAUACCUAGGAAGAGUGGACGUUACUCGCAGAAUAAGCACCGGCUAACUCUGUGCCAGCCGCCGCGGUAACAC